AUGCCUUUGAGAAAGGUAGCACAUCCACUGAAAUUGUAAUGAUACAGAGAAACAGCAUAGCCCCUGUACAAGAAUGACAACAAAGUUGCAAAGCAUUCCGUAUUUUA